AUGGGAAUGGGUUUGACAAGGUUACCAUCUGUUCUUCUCUUCAUCAGAUUGUUGAGAUCACUGAGGUUUUGGGACGAUGGCUCUCAUUUCACCUCUAACGACAAAACCUGGGAUCAGGCUGAUGGAUCCUGCUUUCGCUGUUGUUUCCUUGUGCUGACUUACAGGAUUUACAUUCACAAAAGAAUUCAUCUUACAUUCAUCUUUCAUCUGGCUUUUUUUCUUGCCAAAGGGAAGAUAUAUGCUGGAUGGUAUACAGGAGGUAAGAUGAUACCUCGAGUGGCGUAUGAGACUCGACUGCAAAUUUACAGCUCAUCUGCCAACAUGGAGCAGGGAUGUAUUCAUCAUGGUGCCCAUGGACUGAAACCUGCCACUGCAGGGAUCUGCUUGUCUUGCCCACGGAGCAACUGAGGUAUACAUGACCUGACACUCGCACAGAGACUCGUCUGAAUGCCUGGAGAAAAAGGAAGAGAGGGAGUCAACGAACUUACAUGAGGUCUAUGGCGAGGUCACAGAUUAAAGAGGCACCCACUGGUCUCAAACGGGAGUACAACUGUUUUGAUCCGUAUGAUCCGUUUGAUCCGAUUCUUCAGGCUCUUGUUGGUUGGUGCAGUGCUACAAUCUGGUAAGAUUUUAAUUGUACACACAAAUCCUUUCCCGGCAGAACAUUCUGGCAGUACAACCAAUCGAAACAGUCAUAUCUACCAGAAGAAGGUAUC